AAUCCACCUAAACAGGUACGGGUACCACUAAGAAUUCUUCCGGUGUGGAUGACAUUGGGUGUUCCGGCCAAAGAUAAUGUUGGGAUGUACGCCCGAGGAAGAGCUCAUAACAUCGCUGUAAUGGUGCGACUCAUCAACUCUUUAUACAAAAUAGUUGAACCGUUUCGGAAUUCCCCGCUCGGAGAUUUGGGGUGUUCGAUUGAUCCGGCAUCGUUGCUGCUGCUCACGGAAGUCAAAUCAAUUCAUAGAGAAGAAUAUUCUGCAGAAUUCGCUCGCUAACGGGAAGAAAAUUGUCCGAUGGCACACCACAGGUGAGCGUGCUCUAAAAAUUCAAAACGAAAGCAAACAUAGUAGGAAGUAGUAUAAUUCGAGAGUGACGAGCAAUAUUGAUGAAUAAUUGAAGAAGACUUUACGACUCGCCAGGAAACUCAGUGCCGAAAAAGCGCUGAUUACAACCGGAGCUGGUGCCCAUACUAGAGUGCUGCUCCUUUGGUGAUGAUGACAGUUGGGGCAAACCUCAACUUGCAAUCAAGAAUGGCAACGCCAUUAGUGAACCUGUAAUAAACAGCACCCAGUAAAGAGAACUGGUCUCCAAAUUAAAAAAAAAACCUUUUGAACAGGAGGAGGAAGAAAGUGAAGAUGAAGAAUCGCAUCAAGGUUCUAAUACUAAACAGCGA